CAGACUCGCUCAUGCAGCGGAAGUGCCCGUGGACAGAGAGCCACACAACGGCUUUCAUCUUCGCACCUCUCACACAUACGGAGAGCUGAACUACAGCGCUGGCCCACACGGAGAGAGAGACUAGCAAGCACACGCGUUUGCAGGCAUGGCCUACUACACAGCGGAGGAGAUCACUGAUCGUCGCAUCAACGAGGAUGACGGCGCCAUCGAGUACGCCGUAAAGUGGGAGGGGUUUGCUGGCGAAAUCACGUGGGAGAAGCGCCACCAGUUAACAGAGAACUGCGCGGAGACGGUUCAGGCAGUGGACCAGCGGUGCAUGGACGCCACUGAUGAGGAACUCGAACGUUGGCGUGACGGCAAGUGGAAGCGUGGCGCGAAACGAGCGCACGAUUCACCACCGCUAGUAAGCACCGCAACGGAGCGGCGAAAACGCAGUCGAUCUGUCUCUCCGGCUGCAGUGGAGGACCUGGAGCAGGUGGAGGUACUAAAUGGGCUUCUCCUUCGUCCUCCACGAGGCGACAGUCACAACGACGAUGCGUGCGGUGCCCAGCACGCCGAGGAGGAGGGGACGAUCCUGAUGCUGGGCGAGGUGGUCUUGGCGGAGGAGGCGUCGGCCAUCUUGAACGGCACCGGCGGCUACCGGAAGAAGCGUAAGACCGCAACCGUCAGCACCGCCGUCGCCCUUCACACCGCCCCGGCUCUAGACAUCGAGAAGCGCUGGCGUGACAUGCACGGACAGAGCCUCCUCCACAGCAUCGAAGUCGCGCGGUCGGUCACUCCUUUUCAUCCGCACUUUCGCCUCCACGGGUGCGACCCGGCAACGCGGUGCGCGAUGGCGCUGGAGGUGGAGCGGUCCUCACACCUGCGCAUCAUCAGCAUCGCGCCUCCGCUCAUGACGCAUAGCGGCGCAGUGUUUGGGCUGCCCGUGGCGCUAGGCCCUCUUGUGGGGGAGAAGGAUGUGGAGCAGCUACGACAGAGCGUGCAGCUCGAGUCUCCGCUCUUCGGUAGUGCUGCUCAAGAGCUUGUGAAGCCUCAUGUGGAGCAGAUGGUUGUGCGGUACAUCAUUCCCGAGGUGACGCCUGCCACCGUUGACGGCCCCGCCACUCCCACCACUGAGUUGUUCCCUGCUCACGGUCGCAUCGCCUCAAUGCCACUCUCGGUCUUCCGGGUGGUGUUUCCACAGCUGCUCAUCGACUACCUGCUCACGAACUCCGUCGUUCUGCGUUGAUAGAUUUGGGCCAGAUGAGGGAGUAACUGCCUGCUCACUCGCACUCUUUCACCUCCUGCACUGCACCGUGGCAUGUGCGUGAAGCUGCUACAUUAUGGAUGUAUAUGGGCGCGUGUGUUCGUCUUGCUCUGCCACGUUCGCUUCUCCACCGCUCUGUGGCCAGCGCUCGUGCGUUAUCUGCUCCACCACCGAUGACCACUUCGAGUCUGCGUGUGGUCUUUAGUCGGGUCCUGUGGAACGCAAAGCAGAGAAAGCGGCACGAGAAGAGCGUCGGGACCACGACUUUCCGUGAAUCCCAUCCACACAUGAGAGUUCCAACAUCAUCUGUGCGGCAGCCUCCUGUGGAUCCUGCCUUGCACAACACUCGUGCCAAUGUGCACAGGAGCCACUCUCCGCCCCGCUCUUCUUCUCACAGGUGGGCAUCGCGCACUGCUCCUCCCCCGGCCCCCCCUCUCUCGCUGUGAAG
rnacentral:misc_RNA from 1 species